rnacentral:rRNA from 1 species
CCUUUGUACACACCGCCCGUCGCUGCUACCGAUUGAAUGGCUCAGUGAGGCCUCCGGACUGGCUCAGGGAGGUCGGCAACGACCACCCAGAGCAGGAAAGCUGGUCAAACUUGGUCAUUUAGAGG